ACAGCAUAACUGAAACAGUUUUGUCAGUCUGUUAGUCUAGAUCUGGUGUGUCCAUGUCUUGUCUAACAGUAUCAAAGUCAUGCAGAGACCUGGACACAAAGGCUGACGAAGCAGCAAAAUGUUGAGGCUGAUAAAGAAGAAAACUAACAGAUGAAGAUGAUGUCCAGCAUCCUGCUGCUCCUCAUCCUCAGCUCAUGUCUCUGUGCAGCAACAUUUGUAGUGAAUGUGACACAGAGCAGCUAUCAGGCAGAGGAGAAGCAGAACAUCACUCUGGAGUGGACCUUCACCACCAAGACUCAGGGAACAUGGAGGAAUCUGUUCAUCUACUGUGAAGUGAACACGGAUCAUGGAGUCUUAGUUCUCUAUCAUAUUCAUGAAGGAGUUGAGAUUCCAGAGUCUCAGGAUGAUCAGUUUUCAGGACGAGUCCAGAGCGACAAAGACGUCCUCAGAGAAGGACGAAUCAGACUCCAUGUGUCCAGACUGAGGACUGAAGACUCUGGUCGGUAUCUGUGUGACGUGAAAACUGAAGAUGGAUUCAACUCUGGAAGAUGUCGACUCAACGUUACUGAUGAGAAAAAACCAUUAAUAUCUGCUGAUCAGAUCCAAACUCAGAGACCAACUUGGACUCCAGAACCAGAGAGACAAGAAUGGAUGAACAUCAUCAUCAUCAUCAUCAACAGUGUGGGACUGACAGCAGCAGCUCUGAUUUUUCUUCUUUCUUAUUUUUUAGAUAAAUGUUUUCUACCAGUAGAUGUUUAUUUUAAUAAUGACAAUGAAACAAGAGAUAGUUCAAUCACUUUAUUAUUAGAAACAGUUUGAUCAGAUUUAGGGGAAUCUAAAUUUGUUGCAUCAAACAAUUUGGUUGAUUAUUUUGAGCAGCUGAAAGAUUUUAAAACUGAAACUCAACAUAAAUGAGCCUUAAAGAGAAUUUAAUCUAAGAUCAUAAUUUAUUGUUCAGUUCAGUUUUUCAGGUUUUAUCUGAUUUUCUUCCUUCUGUUCAUGAACCAGCAGCAUAGUGAUGUUCUGGUUCUGGUUCUGACCCGCUGGCUGCUGGAAACAAACUCAACCAGAACCUGGAACCAGAACCCUGAUCUUAGAUGCUUUAAGCUGCAGCAGAUGAUGAACCAGUGAAGCUCUGGAUCUGCUCCACUGGUUCUGGUUCUGAAGGUUCUGCUGUAAAUAGUGAUGAGUCUGACGACACUGAAACCUCCGCGCAUGCGUCGAGCAAACAAGGCGAAGCCCCGUGUGGGUGCGCGUAUCUCUUUAAGGAAAACCACGUGACCGAUACAAUUCCUGUGUCGUUUGGUUGUGAAGGCGCCAAAUUGUAUUUAUGAACAGAAAAUGUAUCGACAUGUUGGUGGGUUUUGUUGGAUGGAGAUAGUUUGUGUUGUUUGGCUUGUCAGUGAAAACUAUGAUCAAUCGAGGAAGAGGAAGUUUUUCUCCCGUUUGAUCAUUUUGAUCUUAUCACGGAGAAUAAGGUCAAUUAUUAUUCCGUUCUCGUUUCCACUAUUGAUCAUUCUUCUGUCGGGUUAUUCCAAUUUCUUUCUGAAGAAUACUUUAAUUAGUUUACGUGGAUUAACUUUUAUUUCUAUUGUAGAUUAAAUGUAUACAACAACGUGAUCAUACAACAUCACGUUGUUGUAUAAAAUUGCACUAAAUGUCGUCCUAAAAAAAUCAUUUUUAAUACCAAAAAGGUUCAAAUUGUCCAUUCUUGAACCUCUUACUAUAUUACGCUUUACGCAACUAUAUUUACUUUUUUAAACCGGUUUGAGGUCAAGAAGGAAAAUCCAUACAGCCAAUAUGGACCAGCAAAAGCAAGAGAAAAUUCCCUAAAGCUUUUGGGCAAAAUGAAAAUGCUUUAAAGUGAAUAAUCGUAUUAUAUUCAAGUUUCAUAAAAGGACCAGAAACUAUUAAUGUGUCGCUUCUCCGAUGAAGGAAUAUUGUCUGAUUUGAUGAAUUUAUGAUCUAAUUGCACUUUCAAUUUUUCAAGAUAGAAAUACGUCAGAAGGAAGAAACUGCAGCAUUCAUCUCGGCUGAUUUGUAAACAGUUAAAAAAUAAUAAAAAAUACAAGUCAGUUUUUUUUGUUGUUUUGUUUUCUUGGUAAUUGGCCCAAAGAUGUUAAAGCAGCUGAUGUUUCUAAAU